rnacentral:lncRNA from 1 species
AAAAAGAGGAGCACCAAAGAAGUCGAGAUUCGACAGGACCAAACAAAAUUGGCCUUUCUUAAAGUCUUUGCUCCAUUUCCAUUACACAACAACGAGUAACAAAAGGCAGCUGUCAUGGCCCAAAUCUGUUUGAUCCAAAUAAAAAAAAAACAAAAACCAAAAAUAAAUAAAUAAUAACAAAGUCCAUUUAUAAAAAUAUAUAUUAGCCCAAGUUACAGGCCCAAACCUAAACUACACUAACCCAAAUCUGCUAAACCCAAUAACAUAAAAGCCCCAAAGCCCACAACCUAAAAAUUUUAGAAAAUCCUAAAACCCUAAGUCUGUUUUCGCGUCGCGCCUCACCAGCCGGUAUGCUCAUGCCCCGAGGUCUGCCUCCCCUGCCACCAUUUCACCAAAAUGGCAAGGGGUGUGCCUCUCCACCACCAUUGACUCAUCCCCUCGCCACAGAUAUCUACAAAAAAAAAACGGAAAUCACAAACAGCCAAAUAGAAUACAAAAAGUUAAACAAAAAAGGUAGUUCAUUUCGCUUAUUUUUUUUACCGAAAAAUUAAAAAUUAAAAAUUAAAAAUUAAAAAUUAAAAUAUCUUUUUUUAUCUGUCGUUUUGUCUUCUACCGCUGUCAGAGACCAUCUCCGGCCCCUCGAAU